AUUGAACGCUGGCGGCAGGCCUAACACAUGCAAGUCGAACGGUAACAGGAAGCAGCUUGCUGCUUCGCUGACGAGUGGCGGACGGGUGAGUAAUGUCUGGGAAGCUGCCUGAUGGAGGGGGAUAACUACUGGAAACGGUAGCUAAUACCGCAUAAUGUCGCAAGACCAAAGAGGGGGACCUUCGGGCCUCUUGCCAUCGGAUGUGCCCAGAUGGGAUUAGCUUGUUGGUGGGGUAACGGCUCACCAAGGCGACGAUCCCUAGCUGGUCUGAGAGGAUGACCAGCCACACUGGGACUGAGACACGGUCCAGACUCCUACGGGAGGCAGCAGUGGGGAAUAUUGCACAAUGGGCGCAAGCCUGAUGCAGCCAUGCCGCGUGUAUGAAGAAGGCCUUCGGGUUGUAAAGUACUUUCAGCGGGGAGGAAGGGAGUAAAGUUAAUACCCUUGCUCAUUGACGUUACCCGCAGAAGAAGCACCGGCUAACUCCGUG
rnacentral:rRNA from 1 species